UACGUAGGGUGCGAGCGUUGUCCGGAAUUAUUGGGCGUAAAGAGCUCGUAGGCGGUCUGUCGCGUCUGCUGUGAAAUCCCGAGGCUCAACCUCGGGUCUGCAGUGGGUACGGGCAGACUAGAGUGCGGUAGGGGAGAAUGGAACUCCUGGUGUAGCGGUGGAAUGCGCAGAUAUCAGGAAGAACACCGAUGGCGAAGGCAGUUCUCUGGGCCGUAACUGACGCUGAGGAGCAAAAGCGUGGGGAGCGAACAGG
rnacentral:rRNA from 1 species